GAUUAUUUUUCAAAAUCAGUAGUACAAACAAAUCUAACUGGAGGAACCAACUAUUCUGUAACAGCGAUCGCUGUGCUUAAUAAUGUUUCAAGAAGUCAAGAAUCUGUUGCCGUCUAUUCAGUCACAGCUCCGUUGCCGACAAACGUGACCUUCAUUAGUGCCAAUAAUGAUUCAGUCACUCUUAACUUUUCCAGCAACGUUGGUCUUUGGUUUGAUUAUUACAUUGUGCAGUAUACUAUAUCAAUAGACCAGCUUAGAGAAACCAAGGUAUCGAGAGAUAAUAAGUCGUCUAUUGUUGAAAACUUAGUGUCUGGAACGUGCUACAUUUUUACCGUUUAUACUGUUUUAUCAGCAGUUAAAAGUGAACGAUACCACGUAGUCAACGCAUGUACUC